GGCCCGGCAGAUGCUAGGAGGUUUGAGGCCCAGGGAGCGGCGCGUGGGCUGCACGAUAGCCCACUCGACUACCAACGUAAAAACGAGUUGCAUAAGACGCUUUCGGCUGAGCUCCACCAAGCCUCAGGACUCACUCUGCCUGUUCAAAAUGACGGAAGCAACCUUGGGCCCCGCAGCAAAACUUACAAGCCAAG